UUUUUGGAAGUCAAGUUACAGUUGCUGCAGAUGUUGUUGUAAUGUGGAUCCACAGCUGCUCGAUCUGAGGAGAUUUUCUACAGACAUGGAGGCAGUCCCGGUUCCCCCCGAGCUGCAAUUGUGGUUUCAGAGGGGCACCUUUGCUGCAGACAUUAGCCAUCGAUGAUUGUGACUGGUUUGAAGACAUGCAAGCAAGCCAGAAAGAGGGGCUGGUGCAGCCACAGCGCUGUGGAGAAAGCCCGACUGUUCGCUGCUUUCCGCCGCCAGCGAGAGAGGAAAGUGGAGCGGUAAUUGACAGCACUUGGAAGAAUAUUUUGAGUCCUUCAAAAACCCUUGGUUCUCACCUAAACCUCCCAUUGUUUCUCAUCAUCAUUGUGCAUUCACGGAGUGGAGCAACAUUCCUCUAUGCUGCUUGGCUCAAGGUUUUUUUGAUCUCCACACAUUGCGACUGAGGUGAGGGGAAGUGAGGUCUUCAGAUGUCUAUGGCUCCUCAUGCCCAAAGUUUGAAUUUCAUUAAAGACCCUCUCUGCUCCCUCGGCUACCAGGAACAAAGCCUGAGCCGGACUCAAUGGUAAUCCUGCCUGCGAGGCGCCGGUGUCAAAGGUCACUCGUCGCCAGCAGAUGAAUCCUGUGGUUGGGGUGGCAGAGGCUAUGAUGGAGAGGAGAAGAAGACAGAGGAGCUCUUUUUCUCAGGUUAUCCAGGGAGAAUCUAAUGAGGAGGAUUGGAGGAGAGAGAGAGGAGCCAUGCGGCUGCUUGGGUGGAGGCAGGAGGCGAGCCGCGGGAAAACUUCAAUACGGAAGGCAACAGAGAGGAGGACGAGGUAGAGAGGGUAGAAAACUCUAAUGCGUAACAUGAAAAAAACAAGGGGGAGAGUGAGACAUAAGGCACAAUCAGAGGUUGCAUUCUGUGGUGUUGCAUGAGAGCCACUUAGUGCCUGAGGACAAGCCCAAGGCUAAUAAAGCUGAAAGUUGGUAGAAGCUCUGACCUUGCUUUGGAAAAGAAAAGCCCUAAUAAGGACACAGUCUAAAGAGAGAGAGACAGAGAGAGAGAUACAGAGAGAGAGAGAGGAAAAAGAAAAAAAAAACUUUGCUGUUUCUCUCCAGAGCAAACACUCUCUCCAUCGCUUUUUUUUUUUUCAUACACUCGCCUUUCAUUAUAGCACGGAGAGGGAGAGGAACCUAUAGGCGGCCUAAUGAAGGGGACCGUUGGAUCGGAUACAUUAAAAGGACGGAUUAGACAGUGUCUGACAUGGAAACUGACUUUGAACAUGUUCGCAGUGCAUGAUUAGUAAUAGACUGUGAAAUUUUCUAACUCAAUUAUAAGAGGCUUUCAUAGUAAUAGGAUUUUAGAAUGUGAGAGCAUCAGUAAUUUUAGUUUCAUCUGUCAAACACCGCUUUGGAGCAUGUUACACUUAGUUAUAUGGUGGAAGAAUUAAAAAAAAAAAAAAAAAUGAAACGUGUAAUGUUUAAGUGGUUUCAUGACUUUUACUCUGACUUUAGCGCUGAUAUCUACUUUUAAACAGUGAACGCGCUACAGAGGGCUCUUAG